rnacentral:rRNA from 1 species
GAUGAACGCUGGCGGCGUGCCUAAUACAUGCAAGUCGAGCGAACAGACGAGGCGCUUGCUCCUCUGACGUUAGCGGCGGACGGGUGAGUAACAUGUGUAUAACCUACCUAUAAGACUGGGAUAACUUCGGGAAACCGGAGCUAAUACCGGAUAAUAUAUUGCACCGCAUGGUUCAAUAGUGAAAUACGGUUUUGCUGUCACUUAUAGAUGGUUCCGCGCGGCAUUAGCUAGUUGGUAAGUUAACGGCUUACCAAGGCGACGAGGCGUAGCCGACGGGAGAGGGUGGUCGGCGACCUGGGAGGUGAGACAGGGACCAGACGACUGAGGGACGGAGCAGAAGGGAACCGGACGCAAUGGUCGAGAGUAUGACGGAACGAGGGGGCGUGAGAGAUGAAAGUGUUCGGAUCGUAAAACUCUGUUAUGAGGGGAGAACAAAUGUGUAAGUAACUGUGCACGUCUUGACGGUAACGGGUAAGAAAGCCACGGCUAACUACGUG